AGAGUUUGAUCCUGGCUCAGGAUGAACGCUGGCGGCGUGCUUAACACAUGCAAGUCGAACGAUGAAGCCCAGCUUGCUGGGUGGAUUAGUGGCGAACGGGUGAGUAACACGUGAGUAACCUGCCCCUGACUCUGGGAUAAGCCCGGGAAACUGGGUCUAAUACCGGAUAUGACCAUGGGACGCAUGUCUUGUGGUGGAAAGAUUUAUCGGUUGGGGAUGGACUCGCGGCCUAUCAGCUUGUUGGUGAGGUAAUGGCUCACCAAGGCGACGACGGGUAGCCGGCCUGAGAGGGUGACCGGCCACACUGGGACUGAGACACGGCCCAGACUCCUACGGGAGGCAGCAGUGGGGAAUAUUGCACAAUGGGCGCAAGCCUGAUGCAGCGACGCCGCGUGAGGGAUGACGGCCUUCGGGUUGUAAACCUCUUUCAGUAGGGAAGAAGCGAGAGUGACGGUACCUGCAGAAGAAGCGCCGGCUAACUACGUGCCAGCAGCCGCGGUAAUACGUAGGGCGCAAGCGUUAUCCGGAUUUAUUGGGCGUAAAGAGCUCGUAGGCGGUUUGUCGCGUCUGCCGUGAAAGUCCGAGGCUCAACCUCGGAUCUGCGGUGGGUACGGGCAGACUAGAGUGAUGUAGGGGAGACUGGAAUUCCUGGUGUAGCGGUGAAAUGCGCAGAUAUCAGGAGGAACACCGAUGGCGAAGGCAGGUCUCUGGGCAUUUACUGACGCUGAGGAGCGAAAGCAUGGGGAGCGAACAGGAUUAGAUACCCUGGUAGUCCAUGCCGUAAACGUUGGGCACUAGGUGUGGGGGACAUUCCACGUUUUCCGCGCCGUAGCUAACGCAUUAAGUGCCCCGCCUGGGGAGUACGGCCGCAAGGCUAAAACUCAAAGGAAUUGACGGGGGCCCGCACAAGCGGCGGAGCAUGCGGAUUAAUUCGAUGCAACGCGAAGAACCUUACCUGGUCUUGACAUCCACAGAACUUUCCAGAGAUGGAUUGGUGCCUUCGGGAACUGUGAGACAGGUGCUGCAUGGCUGUCGUCAGCUCGUGUUGUGAAAUGUUGGGUUAAGUCCCGCAACGAGCGCAACCCUUAUCCUUUGUUGCCAGCGGUCCGGCCGGGAACUCAAAGGAGACUGCCAGUGAUAAACUGGAGGAAGGUGGGGAUGACGUCAAGUCAUCAUGGCCCUUACGACCAGGGCUACACACGUGCUACAAUGGCGCAUACAAAGAGAAGCGACCUCGCGAGAGCAAGCGGACCUCAUAAAGUGCGUCGUAGUCCGGAUUGGAGUCUGCAACUCGACUCCAUGAAGUCGGAAUCGCUAGUAAUCGUGGAUCAGAAUGCCACGGUGAAUACGUUCCCGGGCCUUGUACACACCGCCCGUCAAG
rnacentral:rRNA from 1 species